rnacentral:rRNA from 1 species
GAUGAACGCUGGCGGCGUGCCUAAUACAUGCAAGUCGAGCGAAUGGAUUAAGAGCUUGCUCUUAUGAAGUUAGCGGCGGACGGGUGAGUAACACGUGGGUAACCUGCCCAUAAGACUGGGAUAACUCCGGGAAACCGGGGCUAAUACCGGAUAAUAUUUUGAACUGCAUGGUUCAAAAUUGAAAGGCGGCUUCGGCUGUCACUUAUGGAUGGACCCGCGUCGCAUUAGCUAGUUGGUGAGGUAACGGCUCACCAAGGCAACGAUGCGUAGCCGACCUGAGAGGGUGCUCGGCCACACGGGGACUGAGACACGGCCCAGACUCCUACGGGAGGCAGCAGUAGGGAAUCUUCCGCAAUGGACGAAAGUCUGACGGAGCAACGCCGCGUGAGUGAUGAAGGCUUUCGGGUCGUAAAACUCUGUUGUUAGGGAAGAACAAGUGCUAGUUGAAUAAGCUGGCACCUUGACGGUACCUAACCAGAAAGCCACGGCUAACUACGUGCCAGCAGCCGCCGUAA